rnacentral:rRNA from 1 species
AUUGAACGCUGGCGGCAGGCCUAACACAUGCAAGUCGAACGGUAACAGGAAGAAGCUUGCUUCUUUGCUGACGAGUGGCGGACGGGUGAGUAAUGUCUGGGAAACUGCCUGAUGGAGGGGGAUAACUACUGGAAACGGUAGCUAAUACCGCAUAACGUCGCAAGACCAAAAAGGGGGACCUUCGGGCCUCUUGCCAUCGGAUGUGCCCAGAUGGGAUUAGCUAGUAGGUGGGGUAACGGCUCACCUAGGCGACGAUCCCUAGCUGGUCUGAGAGGAUGAACAGCCACACUGGAAGUGAGACAGGGCCAGGCCCCCUAGGGAGGGCGGCAGUGGGGAAUUUGGCAAGAGGGGCGAAGGCUGGAUGCAGCAAGCCCGGGUGUAUGAAAAAGGCCUUGGGGUUUUAAAGUUCUUCGGGGGGGGGGGAAGGGAGAAAGUUUAAUCCUUUUCCUCAUGGACGUCACCCGAGGAAGAAGCCCGGGCAAACCCCGUG